UCAUCUCCAAACCUUGCUCCCAGCAUGGAAUACCUCAAACAAGUUAGGCACUACUUGCGUUCCGUUGUUUGCAAAGUUUUCUUUUGACCGCUGUAGAAGCAGGAACUAAUUACAUGCGGAGAUUGAGACGCAGAAAGAAACGCAGACGAUCUUGAGGCACUGCGUAACUCUUUCUUUGAUUCUCAUCUCUAUGGUUGACAUGGGGAUCACUCUAUACUCUGGAGGACUCAGCGAGCGUGCCCAAUCAGGAGGCCAUUUUGCGGGCACGUGGAUUGAAAUAUGACUUACUAUUGGUUAGUAGUGGUGAAGCCCGCCCAACCACCCUGUCUGCUCCUUUAAGUAGAAGCCGGGAAGCCACCUCAGUCUUUCCGCGACUGUGAAGCUGGGCAGCUGCCGGCCGCCCCGAGAAUGUCGGAUCUCACGUUCAUCCCAGCCCUCCGGUCGACCCUCUCCUGCACCCUUUAAUAAAAUGGAUUGAUUCUA